CAACGAAACCCUUUCCGACUUCACUAGACCCAUCAAUGGCAACUCUUAAGGAAAUAUUAACGCGGCGACCGGUAGCGGCGACAAUUCGCCUCACCGUCCCAGCCGGCGGGGCCCGCCCGGCGCCGCCUGUGGGUCCUGCACUUGGGCAGUACCGUCUCAACUUAAUGGCAUUCUGCAAGGACUUCAACGCACGGACCCAGAAAUACAAGCCGGACACUCCCAUGGCCGUCACCAUAACGGCGUUCAAGGACAACACCUUCGAGUUCACUGUGAAGUCACCAUCGGUUACCUGGUACUUGAAGAAAGCAGCCGGGAUCGAGUCCGGUAGCAGCCGGCCGGGACACGUGGUGGCGUCGACGUUAACUUUGAAGCAUAUAUACGAGAUUGCGAAGGUGAAGCAGUCUGAUCCUUAUUGUCAAUACAUGUCUCUUGAGUCUAUUUCUAAGUCUAUUAUUGGGACUGCAACUAGUAUGGGAAUUAAGGUUGUGAAGGACUUGGAUUAGUGGGAAAAUGCAAAUUUUUAUUAUUUUUUAUGAUAUGGAUUUGAUGAUAUUGUGUUCUUGUCUGGUUGCAAUGCAGAAAUCAGUACUGUUUUAGCUUAUUUUAACAUUG
rnacentral:misc_RNA from 1 species